AGUGAACGCUGGCGGUAGGCCUAACACAUGCAAGUCGAACGGCAGCACAGUAAGAGCUUGCUCUUACGGGUGGCGAGUGGCGGACGGGUGAGGAAUACAUCGGAAUCUACUUUUUCGUGGGGGAUAACGUAGGGAAACUUACGCUAAUACCGCAUACGACAUACGGGUGAAAGCAGGGGAUCUUCGGACCUUGCGCGAUUGAAUGAGCCGAUGUCGGAUUAGCUAGUUGGCGGGGUAAAGGCCCACCAAGGCGACGAUCCGUAGCUGGUCUGAGAGGAUGAUCAGCCACACUGGAGCUGAGACACGGUCCAGACUCCUACGGGAGGCAGCAGUGGGGAAUAUUGGACAAUGGGCGCAAGCCUGACCCAGCCAUACCGCGUGGGUGAAGAAGGCCUUCGGGUUGUAAAGCCCUUUUGUUGGGAAAGAAAAGCAGCAGGUUAAUACCCCGCUGUUCGGACGGUACCCAAAGAAUAAGCACCGGCUAACUUCGU
rnacentral:rRNA from 1 species